rnacentral:rRNA from 1 species
AGUCGACGGGAAGACUGAAGAGCUUGCUCUUUAUGAAAUCCAGUGGCAAACGGGUGAGUAACACGUAAACAACCUGCCUUCAGGAUGGGGACAACAGACGGAAACGACUGCUAAUACCGAAUACGAUUCUUGAGUCGCAUGACACAAGAAAGAAAGGGUGGCCUCUACUUGUAAGCUAUCGCCUGAAGAGGGGUUUGCGUCCGAUUAGGUAGUUGGUGAGGUAACGGCCCACCAAGCCGACGAUCGGUAGCCGGUCUGAGAGGAUGAACGGCCACAUUGGAACUGAGACACGGUCCAGACUCCUACGGGAGGCAGCAGUGGGGAAUCUUCCGCAAUGGGCGAAAGCCUGACGGAGCAACGCCGCGUGAGUGAAGACGGCCUUCGGGUUGUAAAACUCUGUGAUUCGGGACGAAAGAUAAGUAGACGAAUAAUCUGCAUAAGUGACGGUACCGAAAAAGCAAGCCACGGCUAACUACGUGCCAGCAGCCGCGGUAAUACGUAGGUGGCAAGCGUUGUCCGGAAUUAUUGGGCGUAAAGCGCGCGCAGGCGGCUACUUAAGUCCAUCUUAAAAGUGCGGGGCUUAACCCCGUGAUGGGAUGGAAACUGAGAAGCUGGAGUGUCGGAGAGGAAAGUGGAAUUCCUAGUGUAGCGGUGAAAUGCGUAGAGAUUAGGAAGAACACCGGUGGCGAAGGCGACUUUCUGGACGACAACUGACGCUUAGGCGCGAAAGCGUGGGGAGCAAACAGGAUUAGAUACCCUGGUAGUCCACGCCGUANACGAUGGAUACUAGGUGUAGGAGGUAUCGACCCCUUCUGUGCC